ensembl:misc_RNA 7SK 7SK RNA
GGAGGUGAGGGCGAUCUGGCUGCGACAUCUGUCAUCCCAUUGAUGGCCGUGGGUUGAUUCGGCUGAUCUGGCUGGCUAGGUAGGUGUCCCCUUCCUCCCUCAUCACUCCAUGUGCAUCCCUCCCAAAGUUGUGUGCUGGGUCGAAGAGGAGAGCCUUCCCCGGAGACGGACCAGUCUUCAGCUGAGGGUAUAUUAGCACCUGUGCUCCCGUUAGAACCUCCUAACAAGCUCCCAAGAACUGCAUGAACUGUAGAACUCCAGGUGAUGCAGUGGUCUGAAAGUGGCCAAAAAGGCCAUCAUUA